rnacentral:lncRNA from 1 species
GUAGAGGAGGGGCUUCUUCCAGUGGAGGAGGAGGAGGCAUUCCUUGGGGAAUAGGAGGAGGCGGAAUCAUAGACAUUCCGGGCUGGGACAUCGGGAGGGGAACAAAGGGGCGAGGUGCUCCCAAAGGUGUAAACUGUGAUCCAGGAGGUGGUGGAAUAGGAUGGCCAUGCGAAUUCAUGGCCAUUGAUGGAGGCAUUGGUGGACGAUUUACCAUGAGAUUUUGCUGACCUAGCAUCUGUGGCAUGGGAGGAGGUGGGGGCCGAACCUGAGGAAUCAUGUUAACCAUAGGAGGUCGAGGUGGAGGCGGAGCAGCAACCCCAGCACCGGUGGAGGUGGAAUACUGGACGGUAUUAGGAGGCCUAGGAAUAUUCAGCGCAAGCCCAGGAGGUGGAGGUAGUGGCCUAACAGAUGGAAAACCAGGUCUGGGAGGUGGAGGAGCCUGCGGACCAGGAAGGUUUCUUUCAUCAUUUGCAGCAUCAUUCUGAUCAUCUGCAUUAGUGUUGUGAGACAUUGCCUGGCUUGCAGUGCGACCAAUGCUACCUGUGUGACCAUCCCAUAUGACCUGCUUCGGCUCUUCCUUUUUUUUCUCAAUCUCAGCCUUGACCGCAUUUGAAACUUCUUCUUCCGUAGUACCAAAUAUAUCCGGACGGGUUCUUGCAAGCCCAACAAUGUUCCUAGAUAUCUCAUCAUCCUGCGCAAGAGUUGUCUCCUUAAUCUUCGCAAACAUCCUGUCUUUCUGUUCCUUGUACUUUGGAUCAAUGAGAGAGAUCCUCAUAUGUUCAGACAUUUCAUUAAUAGGUAUUAGCUCACCAGUUAUAGGAGAGACAACAUACUUAGUC